AUGAACGCUGGCGGCGUGCCUAAUACAUGCAAGUCGAGCGAACAGAUGAGGAGCUUGCUCCUCUGACGUUAGCGGCGGACGGGUGAGUAACACGUGGAUAACCUACCUAUAAGACUGGGAUAACUUCGGGAAACCGGAGCUAAUACCGGAUAAUAUAUUUAACCGCAUGGUUCAAUAGUGAAAGACGGUUUUGCUGUCACUUAUAGAUGGAUCCGCGCCGCAUUAGCUAGUUGGUAAGGUAACGGCUUACCAAGGCAACGAUGCGUAGCCGACCUGAGAGGGUGAUCGGCCACACUGGAACUGAGACACGGUCCAGACUCCUACGGGAGGCAGCAGUAGGGAAUCUUCCGCAAUGGGCGAAAGCAUGACGGAGCAACGCCGCGUGAGUGAUGAAGGUCUUCGGAUCGUAAAACUCUGUUAUUAGGGAAGAACAAAUGUGUAAGUAACUAUGCACGUCUUGACGGUACCUAAUCAGAAAGCCACGGCUAACUACGUG
rnacentral:rRNA from 1 species